CCUGCAGGGUCUCUACAUAUUGAUAGGGAUCCUGUAGGAAGGAUGCGCCAUACAUAUUCAGUUCAUGUGCCAUUGGCUGAAAAUUUUGGGGGACCGCUUCCGAUCCAACGCGCAGCCAUGUUUAUCUUUAACUUAUUGUUUGUGAUGAAUAAUCAUGGUUCGACAAUGUAUUCUUAAUUACUGUCAAAGUUCAACAAGAACUACGCAAGACCGUAAAUACCUUAUACCAUCGCGUAGGUAUAAUCGCAAAAAUUUAUAAAAUUUUAAGCAAACAAAUCUCAGUUCGAGUAAAACUAUGACCAUGUACCACAUUGAGAAAUAAAAAUAUGUUAAAAUAAAUCUAUUUUUUAAUUGUUUUAUA